GUACUCGCUGGGCAGCAUAUCCACUCAAGAUGGAAUGACACGGAGAGGACCAGCAUGGUGCCUGAGCUAGGAUGAUAUGCAGAUUUCUGAAGUGUUCUGUAUUUUA